GUGGAGAUGAUGACAGAGAGCAGUGGACUCACAGGUUAACAUGAUGAACUGUAGGACAGGACUCCUGUUUGUAACUCUCUGCUUGGCAGGUGUUAAAGGUCAGACUCUGACAGAAUCUGAACCAGCAGUUAAACGACCUGGAGAUUCUCACAGAUUGACCUGCACGACCUCUGGAUUCUCACUCAGCAGCUACUGGAUGCACUGGAUCAGACAGGCUCCUGGAAAAGGACUGGAGUGGAUCGCUGCUGAUGGUGGUGGUGGUAGCAAAUACUACUCUCAGUCAGUUCAAGGCCGGUUUACCAUCUCCAGAGACAACAGCAAAGAGCAGGUGUAUCUGCAGAUGAGCAGCCUGAAGACUGAAGAUUCUGCUGUUUAUUAUUGUGCUCGAGACUCACAGUGA